rnacentral:rRNA from 1 species
CCUACGGGUGGCUGCAGUGAGGAAUAUUGGUCAAUGGACGGAAGUCUGAACCAGCCAAGUCGCGUGCAGGACGACGGUCCUAUGUGUUGUAAACCUCUUUUGUCCGGGAACAAAGGCGCCCACGGGUGGGCGGAUGAGUGUACCCGAAGAAAAAGCAUCGGCUAACUCCGUGCCAGCAGCCGCGGUAAUACGGAGGAUCCGAGCGUUAUCCGGAUUUAUUGGGUUUAAAGGGAGCGUAGAUGGGUUGUUAAGUCAGUUGUGAAAGUUUGCGGCUCAACCGUAAAAUUGCAAUUGAUACUGGCAGUCUUGAGUACAGUUGAGGUAGGCGGAAUUCGUGGUGUAGCGGUGAAAUGCUUAGAGAUCACGAAGAACUCCGAUUGCGAAGGCAGCUUACUAAACUGCCACUGACAUUGAUGCUCGAAAGUGUGGGUAUCAAACAGGAUUAGAUACCCGUGUAGUC